rnacentral:rRNA from 1 species
AAACUUUUAACAACGGAUCUCUUGGUUCUGGCAUCGAUGAAGAACGCAACGAAAUGCGAUAAGUAAUGUGAAUUGCAAAAUUCAAUGAAUCAUCAAAUCUUUGAACGCACAUUGCGCCCCCUGGUAUUCCGGGGGGCAUGCCUGUUCGAGCGUCAUUU